rnacentral:rRNA from 1 species
UACGAAGGGGGCUAGCGUUGCUCGGAAUCACUGGGCGUAAAGGGUGCGUAGGCGGGUCUUUAAGUCAGGGGUGAAAUCCUGGAGCUCAACUCCAGAACUGCCUUUGAUACUGAAGAUCUUGAGUUCGGGAGGAGGUGAGUGGAACUGCGAGUGUAGAGGUGAAAUUCGUAGAUAUUCGCAAGAACACCAGUGGCGAAGGCGGCUCACUGGCCCGAUACUGACGCUGAGGCACGAAAGCGUGGGGGAGCAAACAGG